rnacentral:lncRNA from 1 species
UCAAUGCGCAGCAACCUUUUCGGUAGGAAGAUUCUUGCUUGGUUUGAGAAGAAGAAGCACCAGCAUGUAUAGACACGUACCCGUAAGGAGGUGUCACAAACUCUAAAGGCAGCCGGAAAUUGUAGCUUUAUUCUUACUUUGUGUUGGUUCCGUUCAGAUCUCCUACAGAAACCAGCAGUUUUUAACUUGUGUUUAUACACCUUGUAAUAGUAGCUUCGUGGUUGUAGUGUUAGCCUUUUCCUGACUUUGUUGAUGGAUGAGCUAAGCUUUAAAGUUGCUGACCUGAAAGAAAGAGGAGUGUGAUGUGAUGGUGGGAAAAAUUGUGAAGCUGCAACAGAAGCAUUCGUAGCAUCAUCAAUCCAGUGGAGCUUUGUUGUUGGGAUAUAGCGGAGAGAAGAUGAUGAUCAAUCUCUUCCAU